AUGUCCUCCAAAUGGCGCGCCAUCCAGCACCGCCACAAGUACACCUACAACACCGUCGUCUUCCCCGCCUCCUACACCGCCUCGCUGACGUCACUCCCUCCCGAAAUCUCCUCCGCCUCCUCCAAAUUCUUCUCCCAACUCCUCCACCUCGUCUCCCUCAACUCCACCUACGCCCAGCUCAACCACGCCAAGACCCUCUCCUCCUCCUUCGCCGACUUACUCUCCGCCGCCGACGAAUCCCUCGUCUCCGAAGCGGCGCCGUUUUACCUCGAGCUUCUCUUCCUCGAAAACUCGCUCCCCUUGCACAAGACUCUGGUCUCUGCUCUGGCCAAGGCGAGGAAUUUCCAGCCUCUGAUCGGAAAAUGCUUCCGGCGGCUCUGCGAGGACUACGGCGGCGGGAAGGGGAACCGGUUCUGCGUCUCGCGGGCGGCGCUGUCGGUGAUGGGGAUGCCGAAGCUGGGGUUUCUGGUGGAGGUCGUGGAGGAAUGUGCGGUGGUGAUUGCUUUGGACGCCGUUUCGAGCUUGGAUUCUCUGGUUUCGGAGACGAAAGCCGCGGCGAGGCCCUCGCCGAUUGUGAUGGAGCAAUGCCAGGAGGCUCUGUCUUGCUUGUAUUACCUGUUUCAGAGAUUUGCUGCUAAGUUUGGUUGCGGCGGCGGAGAGGUUUUGGAGAUGAGUGUGGUUGUGAUUAUGAGCAUUUUGAAGUCGGUGGCGUUUUCGAGGGACUGUUAUGUGGCUGCUGGCGUGAGCUUCUGUGCAGCAAUGCAAGUGUGUCUUAGUGCUGAGGAGCUUGGCUGGUUUAUAAUUGAAGGUAUUUUUCGUCGAAAUUUGGAUUCUAAUUGUGAGAGUGAGUUAAAGAAUGCUAUUGCUAAAGUUCCGUAUAAAGGGGAUGUGUACUCUGAAAUUGGAUGUUUAUGUGAUAUGAGUAGGCUUUGCUUGAUAAGAGGGAUUCUUACUGCGGUGUCGAGAACGGUGCUUAAUACCCGGUUUGAUAUGUCCAGGGGUAAUGAGGGUGAUCAUGUUAAGUCUAUACUGUAUGAUGGAAUUUUGCCUGAACUGUGUAACUACUGCGAGAACCCUACAGAUAGCCAUUUUAACUUUCAUGCGUUGACUGUGUUGCAGAUUUGCUUGCAGCAAAUAAAAUCCUCGAUGUUAGCUAAUCUUACAAUCCCAUCUGAGGAUUAUGAUCCAAUCCCAGUGGAAAUGGGGGCCCGAAUAUUGAGAAUUGCAUGGAAUAAUCUGGAAGAUCCUUUGAGUCAAACAGUUAAACAAGCUCAUCUUAUUUUUGAUCUCUUCCUAGACAUUCGUUCCACCCUUUGUUGGUCAGAAGGUAGUGAGAGAAUAAGGUCAUUCUUGCAAAAUAUUGCUUCUGAUCUUCUUCGUCUGGGUCCUCGUUGCAAGGGGAGGUAUGUUCCUUUAGCAUCAUUGACCAAGCGAUUGGGUGCAAAAACUAUGUUGGAUAUGAGUCCUGAGCUGAUGUCUGAGAUUGUACAUGCCUAUGUUGAUGAUGAUGUCUGCUGUGCUGUCACAUCGUUUUUGAAGUGUUUUCUUGAGCACUUGCGUGACGAGUGUUGGAGCAGCCAUGGUAUUGAAGGUGGUUAUGCACUUUAUAGAGGGCAUUGUUUGCCCCUGUUAUUGUAUGGACUUUCUUCUGGGGUUUCAAAACUCCGCUCUAAUUUGAACACUUACGCUCUUCCUAUUUUACUUGAAGUGGAUGAGGACAGCUUAUUUUCCAUGCUGGCUUUUAUUUCUGUUGGUCCAAGUAAGGGUGAAGAUCAACUGUUAUAUCCUGAGGUCUUUUGUGAAAACAUAGUAUUGAGGGUUGAACAAAAGGUGGCAAUCUUAGUUUCAUUGCUCAAGGUUUCUCGUUUGCUUGCUUUGAUUGAAGGGGACAUUGAUUGGUGUGAAGAUUCUGAUCAAUAUGCUCUUGUUUGUAUCAAGGGGAUAAAAAUUGAAGUGGUUGUCAAGUGGCUAGUGCUUGCGUUGACCCAUGUCGAUGAGUCAUUACGUGUGGAUGCUGCAGAGACUCUUUUCUUGAACCCCAAGACAGCUAGUUUGCCUUCCCAUUUAGAGCUCAUGUUGUUAAAGGAAGCAGUCCCACUGAACAUGAGAUGUUGCUCUACAGGUUUUCAAAUGAAGUGGAGUAGCUUGUUUAGAAAGUUUUUCUCUCGGGUGCGAACAGCCUUGGAGAGACAAUUCAAGCAGGGAAGUUGGCAACCGAUUGAGGAUAACAACAGCACCAACAGAGCAAGUGUUCUUUUUCAUUUCAUGAGGUGGUUAAGUUCAUUUCUAUUUUACUCAUGUUAUCCUUCUGCCCCUUAUCAGAGAAAAAUAAUGGCCACACAGCUCAUUCUGAUAAUGCUUAGUGUUUGGUCAAUUGUGCCUGCUACUGAAGAAAAAAAUGGCUCUGUAUCUUUAGAAGGCUGUCUCUAUCCUUACAAUAAAGGAACCACUUCACCUGAUUCAACUUUGUUGUUAGUUGGAUCAAUAAUUGAUAGUUGGGACAGGCUGAGAGAGAGUUUCUUUCGUAUACUGUUGCACUUUCCAAAUCCACUUCCUGGAAUUUCAGAUGAUGAUAUGGUCCAGAAUGUGGUUUCAUGGGCUAAGAAAUUAGUUUGCAGUCCGCGUGUGAGAGAAAGUGAUGCUGGAGCUCUGGCAUUAAGGCUAAUUUUCAGGAAGUAUGUCUUACAGCUAGGAUGGAUAGUUCAAGCUUCAGUUAGUGGAGCUUGCAUUCGAUCAGAGUCUGGAUUGGAAAAUGGUGAUUGUCAGACUUAUAAUUGUAGGCACCCUGUGAUAGAAUAUAUUAGGUCACUGAUUGAUUGGUUGGAUGUUUCCAUAGUGGAAGGGGAGAGGGAUCUUUCAGAAGCCUGCAAAAGCAGCUUCGUCCAUGGAGUAUUACUCACACUGCGAUAUACUUUUGAGGAGUUAGACUUCAGCAAUGAUGGAGUACUGUCUAGUAUUUCAGAGAUGAGACAUCUAUUAGAGAAGCUCUUGGAGCUUGUGAUGCGAAUAACUUCAUUGGCACUUUGGGUGGUUUCUGCAGAUGCUUUGCAUCUUCCUGAGGAUAUGGAUGAUAUGGUUGAUGAUGAAAGUUUGUUAUCUGAGGUUCCAGAAGAGAUGGAGGUGAAAUCAUCUCCGUUGGAGCAUGGAGACGAAAACUCCACAGUUGUGCAGGAUAAUAGGCGUUCGGAACAAACUGUAAUGGUUGGCUGCUGGCUUGCGAUGAAAGAGGUGAGUCUUCUUUUGGGAACUAUCGUAAGAAAGGUUCCUUUACCAAGUAGCCCUUCCUCAGACUCAUUACAUGUAGAAGGCACCUCUUGUGCUUCUGGAGCUUCAGUGAUGGUGGAUUCAGAUGCAAUGCUUGAUCUGAAACAACUUGAAACAAUUGGGAAUCACUUCUUGGAAGUCCUUCUUAAAAUGAAGCAUAAUGGUGCCAUUGAUAAAACAAGGGCCGGAUUUACAGCUCUUUGCAACCGUUUACUUUGCUCAAAUGAUCCUAGGCUUUGUAAGUUAACAGAAUUCUGGAUGGAGCAACUUAUGGAAAGAACUGUGGCCAAGGGUCAAGUAGUGGAUGACUUGCUAAGGAGAAGUGCAGGUAUUCCUGCAGCAUUUACAGCUCUUUUUCUCUCAGAGCCUGAAGGUGCACCUAAGAAACUUCUCCCACGGGCAUUGCGGUGGCUAAUAGAUGUUGCUAAGGAUCAAUUUGAAAAUAACAGCUCUAAUGGUGACAUGCAUAAAUUAUCAUCGACAAACUUAGACAACGGUUUUGAUUCUGUAUUGCCAUCAGAGAGAAAUAUAAGCGACAAAGUUUCAAAGAUCCGGGAUGAGGGUGUCAUUCCUACCGUGCAUGCAUUCAAUGUCCUUAGAGCUGCUUUCAAUGACACCAACCUGGCUACUGAUACAUCAGGGUUUUCUGCUGAGGCUAUGAUUAUUUCAAUUCGCUCAUUCUCCUCUCCCUACUGGGAGGUUCGGAACAGUGCUUGUCAGGCAUACACUGCUUUAGUACGUCGCAUGAUUGGAUUCCUUAAUAUCCAGAAACGGGAGUCGCAAAGGCGUGCACUAACUGGGGUCGAAUUUUUUCAUAGGUAUCCCUCAUUGCAUCCAUUUCUAUUCAAGGAACUGAAAGCUGCAACUGAGUUACUUGGGAAUGGGCCAUCUGGACAGUCUGGGUGUAAUCUGCAAGAUGCUGUGCACCCAAGCUUGUGUCCUGUGUUGAUUCUGUUAUCCAGGCUGAAGCCCUCAACUAUUGCAAGUGAGACUGGAGAUGACCUGGAUCCUUCUUUGCUCAUGCCGUUCAUUAGGAGGUGCUCAACCCAAAGUAAUCUCAGAGUUCGUGUCCUUGCAUCUAGAGCUUUAACAGGCCUUGUUUCUAAUGAGAAAUUGCCAACUGUUAUCUUUAAUAUAGUAUCAGAGUUGCCUAGCAUAGACGACCAAGCAUUAAUGACUCCUGAGUUGUCCUUACUACUUCACAAAACCAGUAGUAAUUGGAUUCAUGGAAUUCUGUUGCAGCUAAGUUCCCUCCUGGAUACAAACUGUAGAAAUCUGGCCGAUGUUUUGAAGAAAGACCAGAUUCUAGGUGACUUAUUUGAAGCUCUUCUAACUCGUUCAUGGAUCGCAAAGCCCAGAUGGUGCCCUUGUCCCAUCCUCAAUGCCUCUUUCUUAAAGGUGCUGGACCACAUGCUCAGCAUUGUGAGGACAAACCAUACCAGCAAUCAUUUUUAUGCUCUCCGCAACCUACUGUUACAGUUAUCCAAAGAAUGCUUAGAUGUAGAAGCUUCUGAUGGGUUUCCUUAUUAUGAUCCGACAAUAGCUCAACUCCGCCAACAAGCAGCAGCAUCCUAUUUCAGUUGUGUUUUUCACUCAACUGAGGAAAUGGCCGCAGAGCCUUUUCCCAUGCCUCAGAGGUAUUCUCAGAUUGAUUCAACUAAUCAGAUGAUACCUGAAACAGAGAAUGCUUUUAUAGGACUGCAGGAAAGGCUGGUGCGCUCUCUGUCUGAUCCGGAAUAUGAAGUUCGACUUGCAACAUUGAAGUGGCUACUGAAAUUCCUAAAAGCAACAGAAUCUGGUAGUGAGUCCCAUAAUUGUAGCAGCGAGGUUAUGGUCAUUCUACACUGGAUCAGAACUAAACUCCAGACCUCAUUGGUUGAUCUUUUAGAUGUGGAGAAGUAUUAUAGAUGUUCAUAUUACAUUCUGAGAAUUAUAUUCACUUGGAACGCCCUACUGUUCCAGAAGCCUCGGGAUGAAAAAUGCAGUGAAUCAGUUUCUGUUGGUAGUAUGGCAUGCGAUUCUGUGUUUCUGCUUUGGGAUAAGCUGAUAUCAUUGUACAAUCUCACAAGACACGCAAAGACUCGAGAAACACUCAUAUGCUGCAUUGGAAUCUGCAUAAAGAGGAUUGCAGGUUUAUUUACUAAUUCUGUUCUUUCUGAUGCAACUGACGACAAUGAGUCUGAUCAGUUGGCAAAAUUGGCUGCACUUCAUAGUAGAAUAUCCUUUUUCACCAAAUUAAUUAAGAAACAUAGUGCUUCAUCUCAGCCAGUAAACAUGCGAAAGGCAGCAGCAGAGUCUGUCAUAGCAUCUGGUUUGCUAGAGCAAGCUGCGUUGAUUGGUUCUACCGUGUUCAAUAGCCAAAUCCUUUUGGAAAGUUCAUGGUCUCAUUUUGAAGGAAAAGAAGCGGUUAAUAUAUAUGCUCAUCAAAUAAUAGAUAUAUGGUUCACAUGUAUCAAGCUGCUGGAGGAUGAAGAUGAUGAGAUUAGGCAAAGGCUCGCCAUGGGUAUUCAGAGGUGUUUUUCUUGCCAAAGAUCUGGAAGAAGCUCUCUUACUGGAGAAGUUCCAACUCAAGUGGAGAAAGUGAUAGAGUCAAGUUUUGAGCAUCUAACUUCCAUCUUUGGUCACUGGAUUGGGUAUUUGGAUUUUCUUUUGCGCUGUGUACUGAAUGCAGCAAGCCAUGAGGUGUCCAAAGGAGAUCUUGUGAGACAGGUAUUUGAUAAGGAAAUUGAUAAUCAUCAUGAGGAAAAGCUGUUGAUCUGCCAGCUUUGUUGUUCUCAUUUGGAGAAGCUUCCCAUUACAAAAUCUUUUGAUGUCGACAUUCCAGAGAAACAGCAGUUUAGAGAAUAUAUACGUGAUUGGAGACUGAGAUUUUCCUGCCAAUUGAUGUCGUUUGCCAAGGAUCGCAUGGAGAAACUUGGUGGAGCAGAUUGGGUUGGUGGAGUGGGCAACCAUAAGGACUCAUUUCUCCCCCUGUAUUCCAAUUUGCUUGCAUUUCAUUCCAUCUCAAACUGCAUGUUGAAUUGGCAUACAGAAGAUAGGACACAUCUACUGUCUGCUGUUGUUGAACUCGGGAGAACCAUCAGUCCAUUUCUGAGGAACCCUUUGAUCUCUAACCUGUAUUUUUCAGUACUUAAAUCUCAUGAAGAUGCUCUUGAUCUAACCAAUGAUGACCUGAUCUCCAAACUGAGAGGAGAGGAUGUAAUAUGGAAGGGGUUCAAUCCCUAUUUUCUCCUUGGUUAGAUCAGAGUUUGUGCAACUGUAAUAGCUGUGAUUCUUAUACUUUACUCAUACGAAACUUUGUUAAUUAUUGGAGAACCUCAAGGUAAGGAUUCCAGCUUCUUAUUUUCUUGCGGGGAAGGUACCAACCGAAAACGCUUUACAACUGUACCAACCGAAACGCCAUUAAAAUUACAUAACUACCCCCGCUCCGAUCCCCCCAAGUAUAAAUUGGCUGUUGAGUACCAAAAGAGAGCCUUCUUCUUCCUUUGA